AACGCACAUUGCGCCCGCCAGUAUUCUGGCGGGCAUGCCUGUUCGAGCGUCAUUUCAACCAUCAAGCCCCCGGGCUUGUGUUGGGGACCUGCGGCUGCCCGCAGGCCCUGAAAACCAGUGGCGGGCUCGCUGUCACCCCGAGCGUAGUAGCAUACACCUCGCUCAGGGCGUGCCGCGGGCGCCGGCCGUGAAACACCCCAAUUUACCUAAGGUUGACCUCGGAUCAGGUAGGAAGACCCGCUGAACUUAA
rnacentral:misc_RNA from 1 species